GCUUGGCAGAACAAUUAAUUAACCUCUAGAAGCAGAAGAAGCACAUUGAUAGACAAGUUAUUAUGAAGAACCAAGCUUGAGAGCGGUCUACUUGCGCAAGAUAUCAUUGGACUUGAACAUGACUGCGGAAAUCUAGAUCAUGAUGAAGAAACCUACACAAUAUAAACUCAAUUGGAAUGAGGAACUUGCCAUCAUCUUCUCACUAAGAGGCAUCAAGUACCUAGACAAAAAACUAAGAGCAUAAUAAGAUACAAUGUAUGCCGGUGGACAUGUUUAACAGCAAGAAAACUACCCCAUGAAUAGCAUAGUUAAAUGUGAUUCCUCCUAGUAGUAUGUGUUCUAUUAUUCAUAGUGAUGAGAGCCCGAGACUAUGCCAAUAAUGUCUAGAAAGAAAAGGCCUCCAAAAUGUAGCAUUAUUUCAGUAGCAAUAUUUUCUUUUUGAAAAUAGGUUUAUCCGAGGAGCAUUGACCUUUGUCACAUACUGUAAUACAGGCACUUCAUUUGUUUUUAAGAAACUUGAGAUUACUGCUGGUGCUAAAACAAAGCCCACCAAAAUCCUCUUUCAACUAAAAUACCAAUUCACGUACUAGCUAGCAUCACUAAUUAAGCAAAUAGAUUUAUCACUUGUAGCAGCACUGACCAAAUUGCCAUGGCAGGAGAACCCCAGCCAUAUGAGUACCCUGUCUUAAAUCUAGACUGUACCAAUUGUGCAACUGACAUUGAGAUUUCAGAGGGCGGGCGCCGCAGAACGGCAAGUGCUAUACCUUCACAUUGGGGUCCCUGAGGUUGGCAUGCAGCCACUCGGCGGAAGCAACAGGCUCGGUCUGUGGCACUGCGUGGACAACGCCCGACGCGGCGUUGGUGGCGGCAGCCUCCGAGACGACCGGCGACGGGGCGUUGAAGCGUGCGGCGAUCCCGAACCGUGUCAUCCCUGAUUCCAGUACUAUGGGUGGGUUCAUCCUCCUGGUUUUCGUCGCCGUCGAGGUACUCAUCCUCUCGUUGUCGUCCUACUGCUGCUCCAAAUCGAAGCACACAUGCAUCAUACAUACAUACAUACAAGACCAAAUAUGAUUUGAAAUAGAUAGAACCAAAGUGCAACUAGCCUAGUAUAUAUAUGACCUCAGCAUGAACCAGAGUUAUAUAACAAGUAGUCCUACACAAGACCGUACAGUCCGGUGGUAUCAAGCACUAAACCAAACCUCAUCACAC
rnacentral:lncRNA from 1 species